GAACUCGAAUUUUAAAAAUUAUUGGAGUUCUAUUGUUGUCGGGUACUUUUAAUCCGCCGCAGUUGUAAAUGUGAAUCAUAGAUGGCGAUGAAACAGUAUCUUAGUCUGCCUAAAAAGAGCCAAAUAAAAUGUCUGCAAUUGUCAACUUACGUGUUUUCCGUAAUUUCAGCAGUUUGUGUCAACUCCCAUUGCUAAUUAUCCCACAUCAUUUCGCAAUAAUGAAGAAAUUCUAAAAGUGAGAAGACGAAUUCCGUUCGCUGGAUCUGAGUGCAAACAAGUCGUUGAAUAUGAGAUCUUACGGACGUAAAGUAUACAAGAGAGCAGCAGUUCACGUUUCAACAUAACGCGCUUUUGAUGAAGACUGGCCCUCUAGUUUGGCCAGUUGCCAGGUCUUUCCAUCCAGCUAGCGUCCUGCUGCCCUUGCAUCAGGGCUAGGUUGUUCCGUGUGCAACACCACCUGGUAAAUUUGCUAAUGCAGAGUUAAUGACGAUCCCCAACUUUCUUCACUUGACACCACCCGCUUUUGAGAGACAUUGCCAAGCAUUGAAAAAGUUCUGCACAGAGUGCUGUAAGAGUUGGAUAUCAAAGAAAAGAUUGAAAAUUGUUUACCCAUCACAAUCACAACUAGUGAUUACCUCAAUUCUUUCCCCUCAAAUUGUUUACCCAUCACAAUCACAACUAGUGAUUACCUCAAUUCUUUCCCCUCAUUGAGUGAUGCCCGAGCCAGAAUUGUAACACUCCAGGUGAAAUUGAGCUCUUUGAAAUUGGACAACCAUGCCAAGGAUAAAUUCCUCUUUUUCCUGUACCGGCUGUAUGUUUUGUAAGAAACACUUCAGAACUAUUCAGGAUUAUCAGUCUGGUAAAAGUAUGAGCUUCUUUGUUGCUGCCCAACGUACACAUGGACUUGAUGCAGCCAGCCGAGGGCUUUAACUCUUGUUUAGUGUUUUAUGUUCGCGUUGUUGCUGUCUGAUGUGGCACGUUGUUGAAGCCUAUUCUGGUGAAAUCUUUCUACAUCAAGUUCAAUUGGCCGUUCCUUGGUGCUGGUGUUGUGUUACCGAAGUUGCAUCAUAUUUUGUUAAAUUGUCAUCGUGACUAUUGCAGUUUACCAUUUAUAAGUUCAGAAGCAACAAAAACAAAUAUGGGAUGUUCAUGUCAAACAAAUAAUAAACAUGUUUUUGGGGUUGGGAAAGGAAAGUGGUGGAUGUUGGAGGGGGGAUAUUUCAAGUUUGGAUAAAAAUGCAGUGAAUCUAUAACCCUACAAAUGUAUCCCUACCCAUUAAUCUCCAAACCCCACAAACACAUACCUUCCAAUCCUUCAAACCGCGAAAACAUACACCUACCAACCAUUAAAUCUAUACCCUUAACCCUAUAAACCAAUAUUUAACCAUGUAAUAUAAUAAAUAAAAUAAAUACACUUUAUGAAC